rnacentral:rRNA from 1 species
AGAGUUUGAUCCUGGCUCAGAAUCAACGCUGGCGGCGUGCCUAACACAUGCAAGUCGGACGCGAAAGCGGCUUCGGCCGCAAGUAGAGUGGCAAACGGGUGAGUAACACGUGGGUGACCUGCCUUCGAGUGGGGGAUAACGUCUCGAAAGGGACGCUAAUACCGCAUAACAUCCCGCCUUUGGACAGGCGGAGAUCAAAGCCGGGGACCGCAAGGCCUGGCGCUUGGAGAGGGGCCCGCGCCGGAUUAGCUAGUUGGUGAGGUAACGGCCCACCAAGGCGACGAUCCGUAGCCGGCCUGAGAGGGCGGACGGCCACACUGGGACUGAGACACGGCCCAGACUCCUACGGGAGGCAGCAGUGGGGAAUUGUUCGCAAUGGGCGCAAGCCUGACGACGCAACGCCGCGUGGAGGACGAAGAUCUUCGGAUCGUAAACUCCUGUCGAGCGGGACGAAAGAUCCGGGACCUAACACGUCUCGGGAGUGACGGUACCGCUAAAGGAAGCCCCGGCUAACUCCGUGCCAGCAGCCGCGGUAAUACGGGGGGGGCCAGCGUUGUUCGGAAUUACUGGGCGUAAAGGGCGCGUAGGCGGCCUUCUAAGUCAGACGUGAAAUCCCUCGGCUCAACCGGGGAACUGCGUCUGAUACUGGAAGGCUUGAAUCCGGGAGAGGGAUGCGGAAUUCCAGGUGUAGCGGUGAAAUGCGUAGAUAUCUGGAGGAACACCGGUGGCGAAGGCGGCAUCCUGGACCGGUAUUGACGCUGAGGCGCGAAAGCCAGGGGAGCAAACGGGAUUAGAUACCC